GUGCAACCUGCAGACAGAAAUCACUAAACAAUAGUUACAGAGAAUCCUCCUCAACAAAGCAUAUGUAUUAUUGGUAAUAUUUACGCAGGCUCAUUUAUACAGGGAUAUUUACAGCCAAAAUAUUGAGAAUAUGUAUUCCUCUCACAUUGUAACUUUUAAAUGCAACUCAUUGAACAUAUGAUUAAACAGAUCACUCGCAAAUUCAUUAUUAACUGAUACAAGGGCGCCAUGGCCAGAAAACAACAUUCACUUUUAGGCAUAUUAUAUCUUUAACUUAAAAGAUGCUGCAUAAAGGACAAUAUAAGUCAAGAAACUUGCCUGUUCUGCGAUGAAAUCCAUAG
rnacentral:misc_RNA from 1 species